UCCCUGGUGGUCUAGCAGUUAGGACUCAGUGCUUUUACGGCUGUGGCCCAGGUUUAAUCCCUAGUCUGGGAA
rnacentral:tRNA from 1 species